UGGGGAAUAUUGCACAAUGGGCGCAAGCCUGAUGCAGCCAUGCCGCGUGUGUGAAGAAGGCCUUCGGGUUGUAAAGCACUUUCAGCGGGGAGGAAGGCGAUAAGGUUAAUAACCUUGUCGAUUGACGUUACCCGCAGAAGAAGCACCGGCUAACUCCGUGCCAGCAGCCGCGGUAAUACGGAGGGUGCAAGCGUUAAUCGGAAUUACUGGGCGUAAAGCGCACGCAGGCGGUCUGUCAAGUCGGAUGUGAAAUCCCCGGGCUCAACCUGGGAACUGCAUUCGAAACUGGCAGGCCAGAGUCUUGUAGAGGGGGGUAGAAUUCCAGGUGUAGCGGUGAAAUGCGUAGAGAUCUGGAGGAAUACCGGUGGCGAAGGCGGCCCCCUGGACAAAGACUGACGCUCAGGUGCGAAAGCGUGGGGAGCAAACAGG
rnacentral:rRNA from 1 species